UCCAGACUCCUACGGGAGGCAGCAGUGGGGGAUAUUGCACAAUGGGGGAAACCCUGAUGCAGCAACGCCGCGUGAGUGAAGAAGUAUUUCGGUAUGUAAAGCUCUAUCAGCAGGGAAGAGAAUGACGGUACCUGACUAAGAAGCCCCGGCUAACUACGUGCCAGCAGCCGCGGUAAUACGUAGGGGGCGAGCGUUAUCCGGAUUUACUGGGUGUAAAGGGAGCGUAGACGGCUGGUCAAGUCUGAAGUGAAAGCCCGGGGCUUAACCCCGGAACGGCUUUGGAAACUGAGCAGCUAGAGUGCUGGAGAGGUAAGCGGAAUUCCUAGUGUAGCGGUGAAAUGCGUAGAUAUUAGGAGGAACACCAGUGGCGAAGGCGGCUUACUGGACAGUAACUGACGUUGAGGCUCGAAAGCGUGGGGAGCAAACAGGAUUAGAUACCCGCGUA
rnacentral:rRNA from 1 species